UUUUCUAUAUGUAUAUACUCGAUGACUUAGUUUUGAAAAUAAAAGAAAAUUGACGUAUGAAGUUUUUAAAUUGAAAAUAUAAAUUAUACUCAUUCUGUUUCAGAAAGAUCCAUACUCUAAAAAAACAAUUAUUUCAAAAAGAUACAUUAUUAUUUUUUAAUGUAUUAUUUAAUGAAAAAUUAUAAAUUUCAAAAAAAAUUAAUGGUGUUUAUUGAAUUUCUAUUGGCUAAAAGUUAUGG
rnacentral:lncRNA from 1 species